CAGAGUUAGUGCUCCCCCGCAGCAAGUUCUCCCCUUCUUCCCGGGCACACUACGAGGCAUAUCUGUCAGAGUCCUCAAGUGAGACCGCAGACUCAGGCCAGCCGAAGCAUGCGGCUGGCGCUGUGCCACUAAAUCCCCAGCCCCAACUUUGCUAAAUUCUAAGAGGCAAGAAGUGUCUGAGUGUGAACACCGCUGUAAUCUUCAGAUUUGGCACCUUGGAACUUCUGGCUCUUCCUCAAAGUCAAAAUGAUCACAAAAGGUAAAUGCUUUAAAUUGAUUUAGGAUGUCAAGGCAG
rnacentral:lncRNA from 1 species